GAUGAACGCUAGCGGCAGGCUUAACACAUGCAAGUCGAGGGGUAUAGUUCUUCGGAAUUAGAGACCGGCGCACGGGUGCGUAACGCGUAUGCAAUCUACCUUUCACAGAGGGAUAGCCCAGAGAAAUUUGGAUUAAUACCUCAUAGUAUAGCAGUUUCGCAUGAAACCACUAUUAAAGUCACAACGGUGAAAGAUGAGCAUGCGUCCCAUUAGCUAGUUGGUAAGGUAACGGCUUACCAAGGCAACGAUGGGUAGGGGUCCUGAGAGGGAGAUCCCCCACACUGGUACUGAGACACGGACCAGACUCCUACGGGAGGCAGCAGUGAGGAAUAUUGGACAAUGGGCGCAAGCCUGAUCCAGCCAUGCCGCGUGCAGGAUGACGGUCCUAUGGAUUGUAAACUGCUUUUGUACAGGAAGAAACACUACUUCGUGAAGUAGCUUGACGGUACUGUAAGAAUAAGGAUCGGCUAACUCCGUGCCAGCA
rnacentral:rRNA from 1 species